CAACAGGAUUUUUUGUCGUACGACAGACACUUCUGUCGUCACUACAGAAAUUUCCGUCGUCAUGACAGAACUUUUGUCGUAACUACAGAACAAGUCUGUAGUUACGACAGAGGCGCCUGUCGUAACGACAAGCACUUUUGUCGUGUGACGUACACGUUUGUCGUCACGACAGACUGUUCUGUCGUUACAACAGGCGGUCUUGUUGUAACUACAAAAAAGUCUGUAGUAACGACAGGAAUGGAUGCUCUACAACAAGCAGCUUUGUCGUACGACAGACAUAUUUCCCGUCCCCGCAGAUAGUCGAUCUCGCUGUGGCGACAUGGUUCUUGUCGUGCGAUAAACAGCAUGGGAAAGCGGCACCUAGUAAAAAACAAGAAAGGAAAAAAAAAACACGAAGUGACAGCUGUUAUGUUGUUAUUAUUGCUGUUAUUAUAUUAUUAUUGAUGUUGUUAUAAUUGCUGUUCUUAUUGGUAGCUUGGUGUGUCGUCACAUUUGUUUGCUGGUGCACGGCUCUGGGUGCCGCGGUAACAGCUGAGUUGCCGACAAUGGUUUGAGGGCACGGGCUUACCAGCAUCCUCUCUCACAAAAUGACGUGCACUACAUCUAUGCUUGACGACAGCACAAAAUGAAAAAAAGAAAAGGACAAAAACAGCAAGUACCGGCACCAAAAACAGCGUCGCCGAUACACUUGAAAUCGCAUUUCGUGCGCGUUACUCUGGCCAUGUUGCAAGACAGUCAACCAAGAAAUUUAGAGAAAAAAGACAAAUAUGACAAAAUGUGAGCAAGAAAUGUUCCUUUACUGAACAGUUACUUUUUAAGUACAACGAAACAAGGAAAACUUGACACGUGGUUUUCCUGAAAAUAACUCGAUGGACGUAAGAAAUCUUCCAAAAUUCGAUUAGUUAUGUGCUAGGAAAGUUUGUAAUAAUUUAGUUCUUAUUAUUUUAAUGUACUGGUCCUUUUUACGCCUCACGCGCACAUUAAUUCGUAAUGGUUAUUUCCUCUCCGUGUGGCUUCCGAUGACGACUAACAUAGCGCGCCACCUGUACGCGUAGUAGGCCUGAUCCUGAUUCUGUUUCUGGCAGUUUCUGAACAUGACGGCGCCAUUACUAUUUGUGUCGGUCGGUGCUGUUCCCUUCGUUGGCAAGUUUGCAGUUAUGUUCCUGUUUAUUCGAUGUGAGAACGAAUCGGAAAAGCACAUCGUCAAGCACAAUAUCAUUGUGAACUUCCACGCAAUAGAAUACUACGACAAACGAAACUUUUUCGGGGCAUUUUGGAAUGCGACGAGACGACACAUGUUACACGACAGAAACAAGGCAGGAUGAAUGAGCGGCGUUGAAGGAGAUGUAAAGUGGAUCUCGAGCCACUUGCAGAAGAAAAAAAGGCAAAGCAGGGCAAACAAGCACUGCACGAAGGCAUGCAGAAGAAGGCACUGUUUCUGCCCAUGGAUUCCGCGAAAAUCAGUGAACAAAGACAACGAGAGUUCGAAGACAUGGGACGUUUGCAGACAGAAGUGGCAACGCUGGCGCAUAUUAAUCGUAUCCUGCAAAAGGCCAUCGCUUCAAAAGUUUUUCAAAGUGGUAAGGAGAACUUUGCGUAUGUAUGCUAGCUGCGCCAACUUGUUUGUUUUCAACUUUAUUGAUGAAUGUACAUGUGGUCUUUAUUCAGAAGUGAUUUUUAUGAUGCAGUUUUGAUGUCUUCCUGCAUGUUGCACUUACUGGUGGGGUGAAUACUUUUGGGCAAAUUUUGUGAAUAUAUAUAUAUGAUUAGCAUUCUUUGUCUGUCAGAGAGCAUCGAGAUAACUUUCAAAGCGAAGUGUACAUGCACUAGAGGUACAUACAUGCACCAUGUCACACUGUUGCUCCGCUCUAACGGGUGCUGUUGACCAGAUAUGACUGUCUUUUUGUGACUGCGACCUUUUUUUGUUUUUCGUUUUCUUACUAGCAAUAAAUACUGAAGCCAUGAAUGAGAAAGAUGCUCGAUUACUUGUGCCAGUGUGUUGAAGUGUCAUUUCUGCUAAAUUUGACAGGACAAUAAUUUGUCGCAACUUUUAGUAACAAAUGUCAGAGGUAAGAAUUACACGGUUACAAACAUCUGAUAGUAAAAACAAAAAGCUUGUGCAGUAGGCUCCAUAUCACACUUUUUAAAAGUAUUGUAAAUGCUUGUGAGCUCCUUAUGUUUUGAACAGUAAUAAUUCAGAGUGCAUGUGUUCAGGGUUUCAGAAAUAUGAAAUGGACAAAAAAAGUUUUUUUACAAGUAGUUCACCGGGGGUUAAAGCGUCAUGUACUGUAACUACAAGCCCAAUUAUGCUUUCUAUUAACUAGAAACUACUUUGACAGAUUCCGAUAAGACCUGUUUGAGCACCUCUCCACUCUGUCUCUCUAGCAGCCAUGACAAAAACGGUACCAGAUGAUUGGAAUGUCCUCGCAUUUUUAUAAUUUUGUGUACUGUCAAGGUCUAGCUUUUUUCGUAGUUUGCAUGCGUAGAAUUGCAUAUGAAAGAUAUACGAAUAUGAUGCUUAACAAAUGCUGUCAUAUUAUGACACUGAUAUAGUCUUUUUUUUUCUUUCGUACAGGCUACAAGAGGCCCCAUACAUACUGCUACAGUGAACAGUGCAUGUAUGAGUUUUGUAAGUGUACAGACAAUAAAUAGAUGUACUCUUCUUCAUA